UGGGAAGUAGGCAAAUUGGUAAAGCCGUCGCACUUUGAAUGCGAAGUUUGGGGGUUCGAUGCCCUCCUUCCCAGCCU
rnacentral:tRNA from 1 species